rnacentral:rRNA from 1 species
GACGAACGCUGGCGGCGUGCUUAAUACAUGCAAGUCGAGCGCUGAAGGUUGGUACUUGUUCCGACUGGGUGUGCAGCGAACGGGAGUGUAACGCGUGGGGAAUCUGCCUUUGAGUGGGGUACAACAUUUGGAAACGAAUGCUAACACGGCAUAAAAACGUUAAACACAGGGUUUAAGUUGGAAGGAUUUAAUUGCAUCACUCAAAGAUGAUCCCGAGUCGUCUUAGCUAGUUGGUGAGGUAAAGGCUCACCAAGGCGAUGAUACAUAGCCGACCUGAGAGGGUGGUCGGCCUGAUUGGGACCGAGACACGGCCCAAACGCCUACGGGAGGCAGCAGAAGGGAAUCUUGGGCAAUGGACGAAAGUCUGACAGGGCAACGCCGCGGGAGUGAAGAAGGUUUUCGGAUCGUAAAACUCGGUUGGUAGUGAAGAACGUUGGUGAGAGUGGAAAGUUCAUGAAGUGACGGUAACUAGCAAGAAAGGGACGGCUAACUACGUG